CAGGCCUAACACAUGCAAGUCGAGCGGGUGUAGCAAUACACCAGCGGCAGACGGGAGAGUAACACGUGGGAACGUGCCCUUCAGUUCGGAACAACCCAGGGAAACUUGGGCUAAUACCGGAUACGUCCGUAAGGAGAAAGAUUUAUCGCUGAAGGAUCGGCCCGCGUCUGAUUAGCUUGUUGGUGAGGUAACGGCUCACCAAGGCGACGAUCAGUAGCUGGUCUGAGAGGAUGAUCAGCCUCACUGGGACUGAGACACGGCCCAGACUCCUACGGGAGGCAGCAGUAGGGAAUAUUGGACAAUGGGCGCAAGCCUGAUCCAGCCAUGCCGCGUGGGUGAUGAAGGCCCUAGGGUUGUAAAGCCCUUUCGGCGGGGAAGAUAAUGACGGUACCCGCAGAAGAAGCCCCGGCUAACUUCGUGCCAGCAGCCGCGGUAAUACA
rnacentral:rRNA from 1 species